AUUGAACGCUGGCGGCAGGCCUAACACAUGCAAGUCGAGCGGAUGAGGAAAGCUUGCUUUUCGAUUCAGCGGCGGACGGGUGAGUAAUGCCUAGGAAUCUGCCUGUUAGUGGGGGAUAACUCGGGGAAACUCGGGCUAAUACCGCAUACGUCCUACGGGAGAAAGUGGGGGAUCUUCGGACCUCACGCUAACAGAUGAGCCUAGGUCGGAUUAGCCAGUAGGUGAGGUAAUGGCUCACCUAGGCGACGAUCCGUAACUGGUCUGAGAGGAUGAUCAGUCACACUGGAACUGAGACACGGUCCAGACUCCUACGGGAGGCAGCAGUGGGGAAUAUUGGACAAUGGGCGAAAGCCUGGUCCAGCCAUGCCGCGUGUGUGAAGAAGGUCUUCGGAUUGUAAAGCACUUUAAGUUGGGAGGAAGGGUAUUCACCUAAUACGUGGGUACUUUGACGUUACCAACAGAAUAAGCACCGGCUAACUCUGUGCCAGCAGCCGCCGUAAUAC
rnacentral:rRNA from 1 species